rnacentral:rRNA from 1 species
GAUGAACGCUGGCGGCGUGCCUAAUACAUGCAAGUCGAGCGAACAGACGAGGAGCUUGCUCCUCUGACGUUAGCGGCGGACGGGUGAGUAACACGUGGAUAACCUACCUAUAAGACUGGGAUAACUUCGGGAAACCGGAGCUAAUACCGGAUAAUAUCUUGAACCGCAUGGUUCAAUAGUGAAAGACGGUUUUGCUGUCACUUAUAGAUGGAUCCGGGCCGCAUUAGCUAGUUGGUAAGGUAACGGGUUACCAAGGCGAGGAUGCGUAGCCGACCUGAGAGAGGGGUAGGCCGCCUGGGAACUGAGACGCGCUCCAGGCGCCUGCGGGACGGAGCAGUAGGGAAUGGUCCGCAAAGGGGGGGAACCUUACGGAGCAGCGGGAAGCGUGAUGUAGAAAUGUUCGGUGCGUAAAACCCUGUUAUUAGGGGAGAACAAAUGUGUAAGGAAAUAUGCACGGCUUGACGGUACCGGAUCAGAAAGCAACGGCUAACUACGUG